UACGUAGGUGGCAAGCGUUGUCCGGAUUUAUUGGGCGUAAAGCGCGCGCAGGCGGUCCUUUAAGUCUGAUGUGAAAUCUUGCGGCUCAACCGCAAGCGGUCAUUGGAAACUGGGGGACUUGAGUACAGAAGAGGAAAGUCGGAAUUCCACGUGUAGCGGUGAAAUGCGUAGAGAUGUGGAGGAACACCAGUGGCGAAGGCGGCUUUCUGGU
rnacentral:rRNA from 1 species